rnacentral:tRNA from 1 species
GGGCAUAGCUCAGUGGUAGAGUGUGUGCUCAGCAUGCAUGAGGUUCUGAGUUUAAUCCCCAGUAUGUCCA